CCCAAGUUUCUGGAGCGCUUUUUUCCCUUACUUUCGGCACACGGGCUUUGGGCACACAUAUCCUCUUGCUCCCUAACUGGAAUUAACAGAAGAGGACAAAGAGAUGGCGAGCAAAAAGAGGGGCCUGGGGGAGAGCAAGCGCCACAGCACCACCUUCCCAACCUUCAGCAUCUACUACGUGAUGAGGACAAUGGAGUACCACGGCUCUACUGCAGCAGGUACAGAGUACAAAAGAACCAGUUCCUGCCUCUCUGAGACUUUGGGGGCAAUGUACCUCGAACAGUCACUGUGACUUCGGGAAAAGCCAGAAGCUGCACAAGCCCAUGUCAGAUGGACAAGUGCCCGCGGCAUGAGUCUGUUUUCCUGCUGGACCGCGUGCUACCU